UUCUUAAUAGUUUACAAAACAUCUACUUUGGAUGUAGAAAAUUCUUAUAUUUC
rnacentral:tRNA from 1 species